rnacentral:rRNA from 1 species
GUGCACGCUGGCGGUAGGCCUAACACCUGCAAGUCGAACGGCAGCACAGUAAGAGCUUGCUCUUACGGGUGGCGAGUGGCGGACGGGUGAGGAAUACAUCGGAAUCUACUUUUUCGUGGGGGAUAACGUAGGGAAACUUACGCUAAUACCGCAUACGACCUACGGGUGAAAGCAGGGGAUCUUCGGACCUUGCGCGAUUGAAUGAGCCGAUGUCGGAUUAGCUAGUUGGCGGGGUAAAGGCCCACCAAGGCGACGAUCCGUAGCUGGUCUGAGAGGAUGAUCAGCCACACUGGAACUGAGACACGGUCCAGACUCCUACGGGAGGCAGCAGUGGGGAAUAUUGGACAAUGGGCGCAAGCCUGAUCCAGCCAUACCGCGUGGGUGAAGAAGGCCUUCGGGUUGUAAAGCCCUUUUGUUGGGAAAGAAAAGCAGCAGGUUAAUACCCCGCUGUUCUGACGGUACCCAAAGAAUAAGUACCGGCUAACUUCGUG